rnacentral:rRNA from 1 species
AGUGAACGCUGGCGGUAGGCCUAACACAUGCAAGUCGAACGGCAGCACAGUAAGAGCUUGCUCUUACGGGUGGCGAGUGGCGGACGGGUGAGGAAUACAUCGGAAUCUACUUUUUCGUGGGGGAUAACGUAGGGAAACUUACGCUAAUACCGCAUACGACCUACGGGUGAAAGCAGGGGAUCUUCGGACCUUGCGCGAUUGAAUGAGCCGAUGUCGGAUUAGCUAGUUGGCGGGGUAAAGGCCCACCAAGGCGACGAUCCGUAGCUGGUCUGAGAGGAUGAGCAGCCACACUUGAACUGAGACACGGUCCAGACUCCUACGGGAGGCAGCAGUGGGGAAUAUUGGACAAUGGGCGAAAGCCUGAUCCAGCCAUACCGCGUGGGUGAAGAAGGCCUUCGGGUUGUAAAGCCCUUUUGUUGGGAAAGAAAAGCAGCAGGUUAAUACCCCGCUGUUCUGACGGUACCCAAAGAAUAAGCACCGGCUAACUUCGUG